GGAGCAGACGUAGCUCAGUGGUACAGCAUCUGCCCUGAAGGCAGAAGAUCCCAGGUCUAAUCCCUGGGGUCUCCA